rnacentral:miRNA from 10 species
UUCUAUUAGGUUGGUGUAAAAGUAAUUGUGGCUUUUGCCAUUGAAAGUAAUGGCAAAAUUCACAGUGGAUUGUAUU